GGGGAUUUAGCUCAAUGGUAGAGCGCUUGCCUAGCAAGCACAAGGCCCUGGGUUCAGUCCUCA
rnacentral:tRNA from 1 species